UGCUGAUGGAUCUUGUUGUGAGUGCCCUGGGCUGACUGCUGUGUCUAGAUGCUGUAGAACUCUGCUCUGUCUCAGAGUCUCACUCCUGCUGCCUCAAGAACAAUGCAGAAGAUGACCAUGGGUGGAAACUGAGCAGUCUGAGUCAAACUGCUGGCUGGCCCUGCAGAAGCCUGGAACUGAGCAGCUUCCACACCUAAAAGGAAUAAAUGAUUGAGACAUGGCUACAGACAGUCCAGAAGAGGCAACUAAACACUGCAAAAGCAAACAUCACUAGAAUUAAGCCGAAGAAUUGUAGACUUCUAACCAGCUAACUAGCGGAACUCACUCCUUAUGAAUACAAUGUUAUAUCCAUGCUAUUGGAAAGGAAGUAGCUUUGGAAUGUUCUUACUCAAAGACCAAGCAUAGGUUUGGUGUAAUUUGUUUCUAGAAAAUUUAAGAGCUUUCUGUUUUAACUAGCAAAUG